UUAAUACACUUGGUGCAUACACAUAUUUUCCAAGUUAUAAUUUCUAAGUUUUGUCCGUGGCUCGGCCAGUCACUGCUGUAUAAGCUAUGUUUCAAACGCAAAACUGCCCAAAAUUGGCAAAAUCGUUUAUUUUGAAAAAAAUUAGAGUUUUCAAAGGAGGCUCUCGAGCCUGGAUAAUGUUGCAUGGAAUAAUGGAAUAGGACCUCGGUUCUAUUUUGUUGGUUUUCGGAGCGCGAGGUAAUGAUUAAGAGGGACAGACGGGGGCAUUCGUACUGUGCCGUUAGAGGUGAAAUUCUUGGAUCGGCGCAAGACGAACGACUGCGAAAGCAUUUGCCAACUAUGUUUUCUUUAAUCAAGAGCGAAAGUCAGAGGUUUGAAGUCGCAAUAUUAAGUCUGUCAGGAACUCCCAAAUGCGGUUUUAAGUCCAAAAUUGACAAUGCAUAUUUACAACGUACGAGUAAGAAUUU
rnacentral:ncRNA from 1 species